AUUGCACUCAGAUGUUAAACGUGAAGGAUAACGUUGCGUCAGCAACGGCCCGAAGGGCGAGGCGAAGCCGAGUCAUCCUGCACGACCCACCA
rnacentral:sRNA from 1 species